GAUGAACGCUAGCGGCAGGCCUAAUACAUGCAAGUCGAACGGAUAUAUGUUUUCGGAAUAUAUAUUAGUGGCGCACGGGUGAGUAACACGUACAUAACUUGCCCUCAAGCGGGGGAUAGCCUUGGGAAACUGAGAGUAAUACCCCAUAGAAUUAUUGGACGGCAUCGUUUGAUAAUUAAAACUACGGUGCUUGGGGAUAGAUGUGCGUCUGAUUAGCUAGUUGGUGAGGUAACUGCUCACCAAGGCGACGAUCAGUAGGGGGCGUGAGAGCGUGGCCCCCCACACGGGUACUGAGACACGGACCCGACUCCUACGGGAGGCAGCAGUAAGGAAUAUUGGUCAAUGGAGGGAACUCUGAACCAGCCAUGCCGCGUGAAGGAUGACGGCCCUCUGGGUUGUAAACUUCUUUUGGAUGGGGCGAAAAAACGGGAUUUAUCCUGGACUGACGGUACCAUCAGAAUAAGCACCGGCUAACUCCGUG
rnacentral:rRNA from 1 species